rnacentral:rRNA from 1 species
ACGCUGGCGGCAGGCCUAACACAUGCAAGUCGAGCGGUAGAGAGAAGCUUGCUUCUCUUGAGAGCGGCGGACGGGUGAGUAAUGCCUAGGAAUCCGCCUGGUAGUGGGGGAUAACGUUCGGAAACGGACGCUAAUACCGCAUACGUCCUACGGGAGAAAGCAGGGGACCUUCGGGCCUUGCGCUAUCAGAUGAGCCUAGGUCGGAUUAGCUAGUUGGUGGGGUAAUGGCUCACCAAGGCGACGAUCCGUAACUGGUCUGAGAGGAUGAUCAGUCACACUGGAACUGAGACACGGUCCAGACUCCUACGGGAGGCAGCAGUGGGGAAUAUUGGACAAUGGGCGAAAGCCUGAUCCAGCCAUGCCGCGUGUGUGAGGAAGGUCUUCGGAUUGUAAAGCACUUUAAGUUGGGAGGAAGGGCAGUAAGUUAAUACUUUGCUGUUUUGACGUUACCGACAGAAUAAGCACCGGCUAACUCUGUGCCAGCAGCCGCGGUAAUACAGAGGGUGCAAGCGUUAAUCGGAAUUACUGGGCGUAAAGCGCGCGUAGGUGGUUAGUUAAGUUGGAUGUGAAAUCCCCGGGCUCAACCUGGGAACUGCAUUCAAAACUGACUGACUAGAGUAUGGUAGAGGGUGGUGGAAUUUCCUGUGUAGCGGUGAAAUGCGUAGAUAUAGGAAGGAACACCAGUGGCGAAGGCGACCACCUGGACUGAUACUGACACUGAGGUGCGAAAGCGUGGGGAGCAAAC